rnacentral:rRNA from 1 species
CCCUGUGACAUACCUAUACGUUGCCUCGGCGGAUCAGCCCGCGCCCUGUAAAACGGGACGGCCCGCCCGAGGACCCUAAACUCUGUUUUUAGUGGAACUUCUGAGUAAAACAAACAAAUAAAUCAAAACUUUCAACAACGGAUCUCUUGGUUCUGGCAUCGAUGAAGAACGCAGCAAAAUGCGAUAAGUAAUGUGAAUUGCAGAAUUCAGUGAAUCAUCGAAUCUUUGAACGCACAUUGCGCCCGCCAGUAUUCUGGCGGGCAUGCCUGUUCGAGCGUCAUUUCAACCCUCAAGCUCAGCUUGGUGUUGGGACUCGCGGUAACCCGCGUUCCCCAAAUCGAUUGGCGGUCACGUCGAGCUUCCAUAGCGUAGUAAUCAUACACCUCGUUACUGGUAAUCGUCGCGGCCACGCCGUAAAACCCCAACUUCUGAAUGUUGACCUCGGAUCAGGUAGGAAUACCCGCUGAACUUAAGCAUAUCAAUAAGCGGAGGAA